UGGUGGAGUGAUUUGUCUGCUUAAUUGCGUUAACGAACGAGACCUCAGCCUACUAAAUAGUUAUGCGAACCUUCUGCUUGGGUGACGGGGGUGGGGACAGUCGCUGCUUUCGGGCGGAGGCAUCCUGCCCCUAGAUCCUUGAUGCGUUCGUAGCAAUACUUCUUAGAGGGACAAUUGGUGUCAAGCCAAUGGAAGUUUGAGGCAACAACA
rnacentral:rRNA from 1 species